rnacentral:rRNA from 1 species
UGGGGAAUUUUGGACAAUGGGCGAAAGCCUGAUCCAGCAAUGCCGCGUGUGUGAAGAAGGCCUUCGGGUUGUAAAGCACUUUUGUCCGGAAAGAAAUCCUCGGCUCUAAUACAGUCGGGGGAUGACGGUACCGGAAGAAUAAGCACCGGCUAACUACGUGCCAGCAGCCGCGGUAAUACGUAGGGGUGCAAGCGUUAAUCGGAAUUACUGGGCGUAAAGCGUGCGCAGGCGGUUUGCUAAGACCGAUGUGAAAUCCCCGGGCUCAACCUGGGAACUGCAUUGGUGACUGGCAGGCUAGAGUAUGGCAGAGGGGGGUAGAAUUCCACGUGUAGCAGUGAAAUGCGUAGAGAUGUGGAGGAAUACCGAUGGCGAAGGCAGCCCCCUGGGCCAAUACUGACGCUCAUGCACGAAAGCGUGGGGAGCAAACAGGAUUAGAUACCCUGGUAGUCCACGCCCUAAACGAUGUCAACUAGUUGUUGGGGAUUCAUUUCCUUAGUAACGUAGCUAACGCGUGAAGUUGACCGCCUGGGGAGUACGGUCGCAAGAUUAAAACUCAAAGGAAUUGACGGGGUCAUAGCUGUUUCCU